UUGGCCCACAUUAGUUCAUUUCUAAUUAUUCUUUCACGCUUUUAUAAUAGACUAUGAAACCUCGUUGGUGUGGAAACAAACAAAAAAAAAACCUGACACUGUUCCCUGCUUCCAGUGGGAUUCAACACCUUGCAUACAAGGACAAACAGAUGGCAUCCUGAGAUCAUUAAUAACACGCUCAGAUCUGGUGAUGGUCCCUCAAAGAAUAAAACCCUGAAUAAACCUGGACCCCCUUAAGAGAACUUUGCCAUGUUGACACUUGAAGCCCUGCUCGUGAAUAGGACAGGUGUAUGAAUGUGGUUUCCUCACCAUGAGUGGAUUCACGUAAAUUCAGAAAACGUGGUGAGUUUGCACAUUAUUUCCUUGGGAAGCUUAAAGCUAACUUUUUCUCUCCCUUUCUGAAUGUCUGUGCUCUGGUCAUUUCCUGAGGUUCCACCCAGACAAAGCUGACCUGAGUUAAACACUUAACGCCAGGAACAUGUGGUUCAUGGCGUGCCUUGUGCCGACAGUGCAGAGACCAGAAAUAACCAAUUCCACCCUUUACUUCCAUCUCCUGGGAGAAUAUUAAAGGGUUUCCAGUUGGGAACCCAGAACAUGACCUGCAGCCUAGUGAAGGAGGCCAACUUGGAAUGUGCAUUCUGCACAGGAAGGAGACUGAACUCUGAGAGGCAGAAGCCUUCCCCCCAAGCCCGUCAGCUUCUAGGUGCACAGAAUCAGGAUUUCAACUGAGAUCUCCCGACACCAAAUCCAGGGCUCUUUCCAUCCCAUUCUGGAGAGGGACUUGUGACAAUGGGCCCCUAAAUGCCAGAAGAAAGAAGAGCGUGAUGAAGAGGAAGUGAGAGUCUUGUUCCUCAUGGGGGAAAAGAGGUAUUAUUUCAAAGAGGAAAGACAGGAAAAUGAGCCAGUAAAGGACCAAUGGUAACGGAGAGGUCGACUUUAGCUGAAGGAAGGAAGAACUUUCUACAAUGUGGAAUUUUCUGGAUGUUUGUUAAAAAGCUACCUCACACUACUAAGCUCUGCCUUGUUGGAGGACUUCAAAGAAAAGAGCCACCUCUUGCCUGCUGGCUUCCAGAUGGAAGCGUAGAGUGGAGAGUAGGGGCUGAAUGACUCCUGGUUCUGAGCUUGCCUGUCAGUGUCCGACAUCAUAGGACAUACUAUUGCAUAACUCAUGGACUCUGCGUGAAUGGCGCCCCCUGGUGUAGCUUCAGUGCCCAGCAUCCUCCGACUCCUCAAAAGAAAGCACGAUUGUUGAACCUGGAACUCUUGAGCGUCCGUCUCUGUCUUUGAAUGUUGUAAGAGAGAAUCAUUAAGAGGAUGAAAAUAUGAGGGAUCUUCCUCCAUUCUGUAUGUGAAGCAGCAAGAAAAAAAUGUGAAUUCUUUAGUUCUCUGCUAACUUGGGCUGCUUGGCAGAAGAGGCAAUGAAUUAUUUCUGCUCCAGACUCUGCCUGACUUGCGCCCUCAGCACAGCGGGCCAGGCCGUCUCCGGUUGCAAAACUUGAAGCAAGAACAAGGGCAGAUGAAGCCGCCAGCGAGCAGGCUAUCCUUCAUGUUGAAGGAGGGGUGACAGGAAGAGCUGACUCUGCACAUACUCAUCCCAUGACGACUUGUGAAGAGCCCUCAGCAUCCUCAGGCACAACUAUUUCUCCCUGUCCACAAACAAGUAUUGAGUGAACAUCUAUGGUGGGUAAGACAAUUGGGACCUAGUCUUCCAAUGCACAGAAACAGAACAAAAUUGAACACGAGAGCUUUUACAGACAUGGCUGAACGUGCCUUUGUGACAUAACCUCUUCCAUCUGCCAUGCAUCAUGGCCUUCGGCCCCAAAGAGCACUGCAGCCAGGAUGGAGAGGAGACUCAAGGGAGAAAAGAAGACGAUCGCAUGGUGAGGUCAUAGCUCAUCUUGUUAAAGACAUCAAAGCAGAAGGGGGGGCCCAGGUGGCUCAGUCGGUUAAGUGUCCAACUCUCAAUUUCAGCUCAGGUCAUGAUCUCACAGUUCGUGAGUUCGAGCCCUGCAUCGGGUUCUGCACUGGUGGCACGGAGCCUGCUGGAAUUCUCUGUGUGUGUGUGUCCGUCCCCUGCUCUCUCUCACACACACUCUCUCUCUCAAGAUAAAUAAAUAAACCUUGAAAAAAAAAAGACAUCAAAGCAGCACUGAUCAUUCCUUCACCUGAGUUCUGGAAUACAAGUGCACACACAACGAAAAUGCACAUGCAACCGGCACUAUUUAGCAGUUUAUUUCACGUUAGGCAAAGAGUUACUUCUCCCUCGUGAAAUCAAAAUGCUCUAAGAGGGGCUUUAUGGAAGCAAAAAGAACACAGAUUUGGAAAAAAUGCCUUUCCAGCUCUGCCACGAUCGAGCCUCAUGA